rnacentral:lncRNA from 1 species
CUCAGACUAAAGAAUUUAAACUUAAGUCUCGGGGCCCUUGGAAAAAACCAACUGGCCUUCUCUUAACUCCAGCAUCUCUCCCAGAACAAUCAGGAGAUGAACAAAGCUCACGAGUGCUGGUGUCGGCAGAAUUCCAGUUGUCACAUCUUCCCUUCCCCGAGCCGUUCGCACCGCUCUUAUCCUCUCUAUCUUGAAGAUGCUGACAAGCUCCUUACCCAUUCAGGCAGCUCCCUCGCCAUUACGUACUUGCUGACCUAGAAUAUUGGUCUUUGGUGUGCGUCUGUGUCCAAUGCGUGCUGGAAGCCAAGUAAAUUACAGCCAGGCUUUCUCCUGUUGAUUCUGUGUGCCGUUGCCUUGAAGAAUCCUAUCAGAUCAGCCAAGGGUGGUUUUUCUCUGGUGAGUCCACGCUGACUACCUGUAAUUAAGCCAAGGCAAGCACAGCCCCUGCGUGGCGCCUGGGGUCCUGUUCCAAGCUGCCUCCCUCUAAGCCGAAGUGAAACCCAGCAAGCUCCUGAGCAUCAUAGAGAGGCAGUGGUUCUUCUCCCGUGGACGUUCCCAUCAUGCCCGAGAAGCGCGUCCUCAGAUGCCAGUUUCCAUCCAGGGGCAGAAAGCACCUGGACUUCGGAGCUGGUCAUGAGUCCAGUUCCAGCCUUGCCUUUUUAGUAGCUUUGUCAUCCUAAACAAGUCACCGAAUAUCCCUGAGCUCCUUUCCUCCUCUGUCAGAUGGCAAUGACCUUGUUUGCAGGACCGUUCAUGGAAUUCUAUGGAUGGAUGAAGAGCAUCUGUCAGCAGCGUUCGUUGCACACAGCAGCGCACAGUAGGGCCUGGGGCCAAGAUGUGCAGAGAAGCUGGAGGUUCACGUACGUCACUCAGCGUGUCUCCUCAUUUCUCUUCUCCACCCGGGUGCUGCAGUCUCUCACCUGGGGUCCGGGCUCCUGUGGAGGUGUGAGGAUGGUCUUUUAUAUCACUUUUUCCUUGAGGGGACACAGGCUGCGGCCUCCUGUGGUACCAUCUCACUGAUGUCCUCUUAAUCGAGUCAUUACAUCAUUAUCCACCAUCCGGAAAGCCCUCAUUAAAACCUGUAGGAGACACAGACCACUUUCCUUGUUUUCUGGAUUUCUCAGCCUAGAGGCGUAGAUCUAGUGGAGUUGAGGCGGAGAUGUUACUGAAUGACAGUUGGACACAGAGCAUCUGUGAGGCCAACACGCUGUAGGGUGAGCCCCAUGGGGAGGGGUCUGCUCCCCGCCUGGGGUCACUGCCCUGGAAAACCCUUCACCACUGGGCAGCUCUUUGACCUCUGCACCUUGAUCCUUUCUGGACUCAGUGUAAAGUCCUCCUUUUUUUUUUUUUUUUUUUUUGUCUUUUUGUCUUUUUUGCUAUUUCUUGGGCCGCUCUCGCGGCACAUGGAGGUUCCCAGGCUAGGGGUCGAAUCGGAGCUAUAGCCACCGGCCUACGCCAGAGCCACAGCAAUGUGGGAUCCGAGCCGCGUCUGCAGCCUACACCACAGCUCAUGGCAAUGCCGGAUCGUUCACCCACUGAGCAAGGGCAGGGACCGAACCGCAACCUCAUGGUUCCUAGUCGGAUUCGUUAACCACUGCGCCACGACGGGAACUCCGAAGUCCUCCUUUUUAAAGUACUUACAGUUCUGAACUUGCAGGCUGUGGCAUCAGUUAGAGGCAUGGCCCACGUCAAGUUCAGUGCAUGUAGAUCAUUGUUCUGUUCGAGUCGCUCUAAGACAGAAGCGAGGGAGGUCAGAGUGGGUAUCUGGCCGCCUGGCAGGAGGUAGAUGGACACAGAGGGGCAUGGUGUGGAGGUGGGAUGGGACCAUGAAGCUGCUUCCUGGGGCCCCAGAGCUAGACGGGAGGCCACCCUCCCUGCGAAGUUGGAUGGGAGUGGGACAGGCCUGGGAGAUGGCUGAUGCUAGGAUGAAGGCUAACAAGCCCGGCCUCUAUCUUCCAGCCCGGGAAGUGGGGCCAGGCAAGGGUCAGAGAGCUCAGUUAGGAGGUUGGCAACACAGUUCAUGACCAGAGGCUCCAGCACUGGUCCACGUCGGCCAGAGGGAGGAGAGGGAAGGCGAAGAGGCCAGGUUUGGGCGGAAAUGAAGGAAGGAACCACAAUUAAGAACCUCUGGGAAUGCCGAUAGCCGCGGGACGUGUAGUUCUCCUGUUUGAUUUGUCCCCAGAACAGACACACACAAAAGCCCUGUGCUGCCAGAAGACAGAGCGUCCCAUCAAGAAAAUGCAGGGGAAUGAAGAAAGGACAGGGAAACCCUCAGGAUGGUGUGUGUGUUCAGACCCCACAGCACCGAACUGCAGUGAGUCACAAAAACCCGGCACAAUGAAAUGAGGUAAGAUUUCAUUUCCCAUUAGUUCUUUUAAAAUGUAUUUGAUCUUCGAAUUGAGUAAAACUGCAAGUAUUUUUAAAAGCUAAGUCAUUUUUUCUUUAACUUUCUUCCAUUAACCCCUUCCAAAAGAGUAGUUUUUCUGUCUUUCAAAUUCUCAAAGAAAUAGACCUUACUUUUGAAAAAAAUCUGUAGAAAGUAGAUCGACAUCAGAAGUUUCUACAGCUAAACAGCAAUAAAAUCACAGCUGAAGAAACGGGUGUGGUGCA